AUUGAACGCUGGCGGCAGGCCUAACACAUGCAAGUCGAACGAGUGGCGGACGGGUGAGUACUGUCUGGGAAACUGCCCGAUGGAGGGGGAUAACUACUGGAACCGGUAGCUAAUACCGCAUACCAUCGGAUGUGCCCAGAUGGGAUUAGCUAGUUGGUGGGGUAAAGGCUCACCUAGGCGACGAUCCCUAGCUGGUCUGAGAGGAGGACCAGCCAAACAGGAACUGAGAAACGGUCCAGACUCCUACGGGAGGCAGCAGGGGGGAAUAUUGCACAAUGGGCGCAAGCCUGAUGCAGCCAGGCCGCGUGUAUGAAGAAGGCCGUAGGGUUGUAAAGUACUGUCAGCGGGGAGGCGUUACCCGCAGAAGAAGCACCGGCUAACUCCGUGCCAGCAGCCGCGGUAAUAC
rnacentral:rRNA from 1 species